CGAGGCCUCUAAAGCCGGGCUCCAGUGGGGUGAAGGAAGUCCGAGGCAGGGUUGAACGCCUGUCCAAGGACUGUACUCCGCGGGCCUCGGAGGAGGCAACACCUCAGAGGCAGGAGAAGCCGAAGGAGCCUCGGGGGAAGGAGAAGGUCCCUGAGGAGACAAAAAAGAGGAAGCUGGUGCAUCUCUCCAGCUCGGCUGGGAAAUUCGGGACCUCUGUGUCCCAUGAGGCAAAGCAAACUGGCCAGCCGAAGUUGCUUGCGGUCGCCUCGAAGGCCAUCAAAAUUGAGAUGGUUAGAGA
rnacentral:lncRNA from 1 species